rnacentral:lncRNA from 7 species
GGCAGGCUCCUUAUCGUGGAUGCAGGAGAGGGACCACCAGAAAGGCCCCACCAAAAAAAAAAGCACAUCUGGGCAGAGAGUGUCGGAACAGAAGAGCUAUGUUGUCCCUUGCACCUUGAAGUGAUGAGCAUUGGCAGAUCUCCUGAUCUCAGCCUGGGGCUGCUGACGGUUCAGGUCCAUUUCAGAGAGAGAGAGAGAGCAACAUGCAUGGGGUGAACCUCAAAAGAGAAAAUCUCACUAGGAACUGAGCCCAGGACCUCCAACAACACACCAGUCAAGAACUCUACUACUGAGUUAUCCUCCCAACCUCUAGUAUGGGUAGAGGGAUCCUGGAAGACAGCCCGGAGGAAGAAGUCACCAUUUGCUACAGAGGGGACAAAUGGCUCAGAAUGGCAAUUCAGGGCCCCCAGCUUUCUGUUUUUAGCUUGUAACCUGUCCCCUCCUGGACUGUGAAAAGAACAUAUAGCCCGACCUCCCUGCCAACAAGCUGUACCAUUGGGAAGAGGAGAGCCCAACGGUAGAAGCUCAUCAAUGAUUCCCAGCCUCUGUUUCCAUCAGAAUUGCUUGAUGAAGCUCCUUUAACACAAAUAGAUUUACUCACAUUCCUUAACUGUAAAAGGUGUGCAUGUGCCAGCAGGGGGUUCUGGAAUCAUGUACCUUUGUCAGAGCUCCCCCAUUUAAUUCUGAUACAAUUCCACGUAUUACCUAAAGAGAACCACUACUGA